rnacentral:rRNA from 1 species
GAUGAACGCUGGCGGCGUGCUUAACACAUGCAAGUCGAACGAAGCACUUUAUUUGAUUUUCUUCGGAAAUGAAGAUUUUGUGACUGAGUGGCGGACGGGUGAGUAACGCGUGGGUAACCUGCCUCAUACAGGGGGAUAACAGUUGGAAACGACUGCUAAUACCGCAUAAGCGCACAGUAUUGCAUGAUACAGUGUGAAAAACUCCGGUGGUAUGAGAUGGACCCGCGUCUGAUUAGCUAGUUGGUGGGGCAACGGCCUACCAAGGCGACGAUCAGUAGCCGACCUGAGAGGGUGACCGGCCACAUUGGGACUGAGACACGGCCCAAACUCCUACGGGAGGCAGCAGUGGGGAAUAUUGCACAAUGGGGGAAACCCUGAUGCAGCGACGCCGCGUGAACGAAGAAGUAUUUCGGUAUGUAAAGUUCUAUCAGCAGGGAAGAUAAUGACGGUACCUGACUAAGAAGCACCG